UGACUUACUUUGCGUAUAUUAAAAUCGAUCCUCACAUUAUUUCUCUAGAGUUCCCGCCAAAUCAUGGACAUUAUUACGUACGGAAGUUCAGUGCAUACAAAACGUUUAUGAUAAUGAGUUGCAACUCUUUGUCUACAUGUCCCGUUGAUAAGAGAUUUACUACUGCGAUUUCUACGGAAAAGGUCAGACUCAGUUUAUUUUGGAGGAGAGUAUUUUUUUUUAGUAGACAGUGAUGCCUUAAGACCGAAGUCGGUUACAAUGUUGUUUCUCUCAUUUAUCGAUGAGUUGUUCGCAAUAUACAUAAAUGAAACUGCGGCAAAAAUUUGUUAUCCAGACCUUCAAAAAUAGCAGGAACAAAGAUUACAAUGGAUCGCAAUAACGUGGCAAUGAGUCGCGAUUUUGCACCCGUAUUUUUCGACUUGGAAAGAACGGGCCACCGCACCGGGGAUGAGAUAAUACGGAUUGGAGCUAUCAAUAAGGACAACAUAUUUUGCAGUCAUCCGUUUCCUCUUGGCUGUGCAGCAGCAGCAUUAUCUGCCGGUUGCUCCUUCUUUUGUUGCUGCUUCUGUUUUUUGCGUAGUGCACCACCGGUUUUUUUAGCGCUUACUGCUUUACGAGGUACAUUUUCGGUAUCACUACUGUCUAAAUCUAUUCUCUCUAUUACUGAAUAUUUAAACGAAACGGAAGCACCAAAUUUACCUAAUGCA
rnacentral:lncRNA from 1 species